rnacentral:rRNA from 1 species
ACGAACGCUGGCGGCGUGCCUAAUACAUGCAAGUCGAACGCUUCUUUUUCCACCGGAGCUUGCUCCACCGGAAAAAGAGGAGUGGCGAACGGGUGAGUAACACGUGGGUAACCUGCCCAUCAGAAGGGGAUAACACUUGGAAACAGGUGCUAAUACCGUAUAACAAUCGAAACCGCAUGGUUUUGAUUUGAAAGGCGCUUUCGGGUGUCGCUGAUGGAUGGACCCGCGGUGCAUUAGCUAGUUGGUGAGGUAACGGCUCACCAAGGCGACGAUGCAUAGCCGACCUGAGAGGGUGAUCGGCCACAUUGGGACUGAGACACGGCCCAAACUCCUACGGGAGGCAGCAGUAGGGAAUCUUCGGCAAUGGACGAAAGUCUGACCGAGCAACGCCGCGUGAGUGAAGAAGGUUUUCGGAUCGUAAAACUCUGUUGUUAGAGAAGAACAAGGAUGAGAGUAACUGUUCAUCCCUUGACGGUAUCUAACCAGAAAGCCACGGCUAACUACGUGCCUGCAGCCGCGGUAAUACGUAGGUGGCAAGCGUUGUCCGGAUUUAUUGGGCGUAAAGCGAGCGCAGGCGGUUUCUUAAGUCUGAUGUGAAAGCCCCCGGCUCAACCGGGGAGGGUCAUUGGAAACUGGGAGACUUGAGUGCAGAAGAGGAGAGUGGAAUUCCAUGUGUAGCGGUGAAAUGCGUAGAUAUAUGGAGGAACACCAGUGGCGAAGGCGGCUCUCUGGUCUGUAACUGACGCUGAGGCUCGAAAGCGUGGGGAGCAAACAGGAUUAGAUACCCUGGUAGUCCACGCCGUAAACGAUGAGUGCUAAGUGUUGGAGGGUUUCCGCCCUUCAGUGCUGCAGCUAACGCAUUAAGCACUCCGCCUGGGGAGUACGACCGCAAGGUUGAAACUCAAAGGAAUUGACGGGGGCCCGCACAAGCGGUGGAGCAUGUGGUUUAAUUCGAAGCAACGCGAAGAACCUUACCAGGUCUUGACAUCCUUUGACCACUCUAGAGAUAGAGCUUCCCCUUCGGGGGCAAAGUGACAGGUGGUGCAUGGUUGUCGUCAGCUCGUGUCGUGAGAUGUUGGGUUAAGUCCCGCAACGAGCGCAACCCUUAUUGUUAGUUGCCAUCAUUUAGUUGGGCACUCUAGCAAGACUGCCGGUGACAAACCGGAGGAAGGUGGGGAUGACGUCAAAUCAUCAUGCCCCUUAUGACCUGGGCUACACACGUGCUACAAUGGGAAGUACAACGAGUCGCAAAGUCGCGAGGCUAAGCUAAUCUCUUAAAGCUUCUCUCAGUUCGGAUUGUAGGCUGCAACUCGCCUACAUGAAGCCGGAAUCGCUAGUAAUCGCGGAUCAGCACGCCGCGGUGAAUACGUUCCCGGGCCUUGUACACACCGCCCGUCACACCACGAGAGUUUGUAACACCCGAAGUCGGUGAGGUAACCUUUUGGAGCCAGCCGCCUAAGGUGGGAUAGAUGAUUGGGGUG